GCCCGGCUGGCUCAGUCGGGGGAGCGAGUGACCCUUAAUCUCAGGGCCGUGAGUUCGAGCCCCACGUUGGGUG
rnacentral:tRNA from 1 species